rnacentral:lncRNA from 10 species
CCUGCCCAUAGGUGACAUUAGAGUCACGUGACCUGCCUCCUGAGCCUGAGACACUUCACUGACUGGAAGCAGCGGGACAAAGGACUGAGAAGAGCUCCUCUGAGCUCCAAAGGGUUCUGAGAAGGAACAGGCAGGAGGAAAAAUAAGUUGAACAUCCCUGAAGCGUUCAAGUGUGUUAAGAGGGGAUUGACCAGCAGACACUGGAUGAGAUCAGACGUGCAAAACAACGUGUUUCCCAGGCUCGAGUCACGUCUGCAGCCAGGAGGAAGCCCCAGUGGCUGUGCUAGGUCCCACCCCGGGAGAUGCCCCUCACCUCUUCCCCUGAGGCUUACCUUAUCCGCAUCCACGGAAGGGCUGGGCGAUGUCAUCUUCACUGUGGCGUACGUGGGAUCAGAC